CUCAUGGUCACAGAAAAUUUUUUAGAGUUAACAAGUUCAAAUUUAUCUGCAUAAUUGUGUGACAGAAAUGUACAAUAGGGUGCUUCAUAAAAUAUUACCAAGCAUGAAAAUAUAUUAUGCUUGGAUAAAACUCCGUAGCAGAAGCUGAAGAAGAAAAAAAGAAUGUUGCAUAUUAUGUCAAAUAAAAAAACAGACCCAGAUUUGAUAAAGAGAGAUUUUAUUUAAAAGGAUGAUUUUGGGGUGGGGUGAGGGUGGUAAGACUCUGUAAACAGGGAGAACACUCAGGCCAUAAAUCUACAAACUCUCAAGGGGUAGGCAAAAAGGGAUUUUCUUUUAUAGGAAGGAGUAAACCAGUCUAGAAAGAACCUGGUGUAGGCAAAUGGGAAUUGGGGCUAUCUGUAUCCGGUCUAGUAACAGGGUAUAGUGGGGAAUCGCCAUAGAGGGGAAUCCAUGAGUUUUAUCUCAGUCAUUGCAGUGAGCCAUUUCCAGAACCCGAGAGACGGGGUUGAGGUGGGGUUAGGGGGUAAGGGGUUAAUCAUUGCUGUUCUCUAGGAGCACAGUGCUUAGGUAAAACUCAACAUUGUCAUAAAUAGUUUUUUCAUGUACUUUAAAAAUGAAGGCCGGGCGCUGUGGCUCACGCCUGUAAUUCCAACACUUUGGGAGGCCAAGGCGGGUGAAUCACCUGAGGUCUCAAGUUUGAGACCAGCCUGGCCAACAUGGUGAAAUCCUGUCUCUACUAAAACACAAAAAUUACCUAGGUAUGGUCGUGGGCACCUAUAAUCCCAGCUACUCAGGAGGCUGAGGCAUGAGAAUCUCCUGCACCCCGGAGAUAGAGGUUGCAGCGAGCCAAGAUUGCACCACUGCCCUCCAGCCUGGGCAACAGUGCAAGACUCUGUCUCAAUAAAUAAAUAAAGAAGCUAGGCAAGGUGGCACAUGCCUGUAGUCCCAGCUACUUUGGAGGCUGAGGUGGGAGGAUCACUUGAGAAGGGCAGGAGUUUGAGACCACAGUGCACUAUGAUUGUGUUACCCUCCAGCCUGGGCAACAUAGUGAGACCCCACCUCUACAAAAAAUAAAUAAAUGAAAAUGAAUAAUAUUUGUAUCAAAUCAUUAUGAUAUUUAGACUCCAUUGCGUUCAUUUAAUGACGUCUUUUUAAGAUGUCCAUAUUAACAGAUGCUCUGUGACUUAACAAUGAGGCCAUGUCCGGAUAAACCCACUAUAAUUCACAAGUUGAAAAUGCACUUAAUACAUCUAACCUACCAAACGUCUAUAGCUUAGCCUGACAUACCUUAGAUGUACUUACAACAUUUACAUUGGCCUACAGUUGGGCAAAAUCAUCUAACACAAAUGUUAUAAUAAAGUACUGAACAUGUCACAUAAUUUAUUCACGACUGUACUGAAAAUAAAAAACAGAAUGUAUGGACACUUGAAGUAAGGUUUCUACUAAAUGUGUAUUGCUUUUGCACUAUUGUAAAGUUGAAAAAUGUUAAAUUGAGCCAUUGUAGGUCAGGGACCAUCUAUACUUACAUUUAUCAUAAAAAAAUUGCUAAGUAAAAAAACUUGAUGUCCCAGGUAUUCAGUAAGGGUGGUCUCACACUGUCAUCUUGACUGUGGAUGGUAAUACCCAUACCCCUUCUUUCUUAGGGAAACCACUAAACUCACCCUCCAACUUCUGCUAGCUGUGUGACUUUUGGCAAGGCUCUUGACCUUGCUGAACCAAGUCAGCCCUUCCCUUCUACCCAGAGGCUGCCCCUGGAUUGAAUAAAAAUAUUCCCUCCUAGGCCAGGUGCGGUGGCUCACGCCUGUAAUCCCAACACUUUGGGAAGCAGAGGCUGGUGGAUCACAAGUUCAGAAGUUGAAGACCACCCUGACCAACACGGUGAAACUCCAUCUCUACUAAAAAUACAAAAAUUAGACGGGCAUGGUGACACUUGCCUGUAAUCCUAGCUACUCAGAAGGCUGAGGAAGGAGAAUCAUUUGAACCCGGGAGGCAGAGGUUGCAGUGAGCCGAGAUGGCGCCACUGCACUUCAGCCUGGAUGACAGAGCAAGGCUCCAUCUUGAAGAAAAAAAAACAAAAAACGCCUCCUUCCACAAAGACGAGGGCUCCUUUAUAACAGAGCUUGUUUAGGCUGGGGCCUGGUGGGGAAAAACCCAUGAUCCAAGCUCUGACUUCAAGGACCCCAUCAUUUCCCCCUCCGCAUUUUCAAUCUGAAAACACUUGAGACAGGACUUGACCUGUUUUGCAUUUACAAAUCAUUAUGCUACAGUCAGAGUGCCAUUCUGCCUGCCCUGUGUACUCAUUCUGAGGACUUUUUGGGGGUACUGUGGGGAUCCCCAUGGUGCUGGGCCAGGUGCAGACUUGAAAGAGAGUGUUGAUCUGCUCAAUUUUUAGAGCAAUUGUUCUCCACGUGUCGUCCUAGCCCAGCAGCAUGGGCAUUUACCUGGGAGUUUGUUGGACCUACUGAAUCAGAAAAUCAGGCUGUGGGGCCCAGAAAGUCAGGGGAUGAGGCCCAGAAAGUCAAGGGGUAGGAUUAAGAAAAUUAGGGGGUGGGGCCCAGCAUUUUAACAAGCUGAUGAAAUAGCUAAUCCUGAGGCAUGCCGAAGUUUAGGAUCCAUUGUGUUGGAGAGUAUGAAGCUGACGACAUUCCCAGUGCUAAAUGUGAAUAAGGUACUUGUUUUAUGCACGCAGCUCCCCGCCUCUUAGCUCUCUUGAUCCAGCAGCAGCUGGACUUUGGACCUACCAGGACACAGCCUGGCACCAAGACAAUUAAGGUACCUUUGUACCCUCCCCCAACUCCUGAGAAUGUCCGGGAUUCUCAGGCCCAGGCUAAGUGUCACACGGCUAAUUUUUUAAUGGAAGACUGGAGGGAUUUGAUCGAGGGGAGUUUUAUUCUCUGCCGUUCCUUGCUCCAUUCUAGACUAGAGUUCCCUCACAUAUAAAAUUAAUCCUUCAUUCAGUGGUCCCCAGCCUUGACUCAACAUGCUGAACUUGAAAAAACACAGACGAGGCCGGGCGCGGUGGCUCACGCCUGUAAUCCCAGCACUUUGGGAGGCCGAGGUGGGCGGAUCACGAGGUCAGCAGAUCGAGACCAUCUGGCUAGCACAGUGAAACCCUUUCUCUACUAAAAAUACAAAAAAAUUUGGCCGGGCGUGGUGGCGGGCGCCUGUAGUCCCAGCUGUUCGGGAGGCUGAGGCGGUAGAAUGGCGUGAACCCGAGAUCGCGCCACUGCACUCCAGCCUGGGCGACAGAGCGAGACUCCAUCUCACAAAACAAAACAAAACAACAACAACAACAACAACAAAAAAGCACCACAGACGCUUGGGUCACACCCCACCCCAAGAUUCUGAUUUAACUGGUCUGGGGUGGGGCCUGAACAGGAAGGUUUUUAAAUCUCCCCAGGUGUUAGUAGUUUGUCGCUGAGACUGACAAUUGCCGCUAAAGUGGAGUUACCUAAAGCUUCCAGCAGAGGACGCUGCCUCUCUGCUCAUCCAGGGAAACGUGAGCCGGGAAACCUGACAGCUGCAGUUGCGAUGGGUGGGGCUGGAAAUCAGGCUGUUUCGUAAACCCGGUUGAUGCAGUUAAGGCGACGGGCCAGAUGCCGUGACCCUUGUAUCGCCGAGGUUUUUGUGUUGAGACUCCAAUAAAGUUACCUUAAAAAGUAGUAAGUUAGGGCCAGGCGCUGUGACUUACGCUGUAAUUUCAGCAUUUGGGGAAGCCAAGGUGGUAGGAUCACCUGAGCCCAGGAGUUUAAGACCAGCCUGAGCAACACAGGGAGACUCCGUCUCUACAAAAAAUACUGUAAUUAGCCAGGGUGUGGUGGUGGGUGUCUGUAGUCUCAUCUGAUCGGGAGGCUGAGGGAGGAGAAUUGCUUGAGCCCAGGAGGUUGGGGUUGCAUUGAGCCGAGAUCACACCACUGCACUCUAGACUGGGUGACAAAGCCAGACCCCAUUUCAAUAAAUAAAUAAAUAAAUAAAAACAGUAGUAAAUUGUCUAUUUUGCUGAGUGACCAAGAGAUAAGUCACAACCUCUGCAGGCCCUGAUUUCAGCAUUUUUAAAGUGGGGAGGGACUUGGUCUAUAUUCAUUCUUUCAAUAUAUAUUGAGUCCCCUGAAAUGGGCAAGAUACUGAUCUGGAAGGGGAAGGAUACAUAUUUAAAUAGGAUUAAAUUCCUACAUGAUAGGGGAGACUAAUAGAAAGAUGGUGGUUUCCAUUUUUUCCUAUUUCAGGAUGGCAGAUUUGUGGGUGCACAAGGCUGGUGAAGAGGACAACCAUGAAAACUAUGAAAGAAAAGGCAGAAGAGACCAAUAUUGGGUAUAUACCCAUGCUAUUUUAUAUUAUGACACUUCACUUGCCUACUUAUCGUAAUAACCUAGCAAGGUAGAUGUGAUCAAUUCUGUUUCACAGUUGAGGAAUCUGAGACUCAGAGAUGUUAAGUGACUGACUCAAAGUCACACAGCUCGUAAGCAGUGGAGCCAAGAUUGAAACUGGCACAUGUUUGACUUCAGAGCCAGGACUCCCCCCACCACUUAACAAAGGCUGUCAUAUCCAUCCCUCAAAUCAGGAAUGCACCCCACAUCCCCCCCCGAGAUGCUUGUUUCACUGAGACACAAUCUCUCCCCGUUCCAUCUCCAAACCAGCCCCAGAGGCUGAGGGCUGCCCAGGAGAGACUCAACUCCCCUCCUCUCCUGUUCUCCAGCUCUGCCCUUCCUGCCCAAUCUGGGCUUCUCUCCCGCUGUGAAGGACAGAUACCUGCUGAGUGACACCAAUUUGCAGACUUCUGAAGUGUAAAUGAGAUUUCUAAUAGGACUGGCUUCCCACUGGCUUCAGGCAGGGUUAGGAGUAAAGGGAAAUUUAAGACUGGAAGUGCAGAAGAAGAGAGCCAGUUUGUAGGAUAGGGAGCAGCAGAAGCAGAGGCAGCCAAAGUCUCUGGGUAGAAGUGAAGGGCUGACUUGGUUCAGAGAGGUCAAGUGCCUUGCCAGAGGUCACACAGCUAGCAACCGGAAGAGGUAGAAUGAGCUCAGCUAAUGGUUGCAUUUUUAGCAUUCCCUAAAUGAGUACGAUCCCCAACCCCCAACUUUAGUUUGUAAUAUGCUUUAGUCUCCUCUGCUGUAUGGAUGGAGGAGGGUGGGAAUAUACUUAGGAAUAGGGAGGGCAUUUGGAUUUGUUGCUUGAAAAUUAAUCUCCACUGAAAGUGUCAUCACUGUAACUUGGUGCUCACCUUAGGGCAAGGUACCCCCCAGGCAGAGGGAUCCCAGGCAGAAAGGCUGGGAGGCCAGGCAAGGUGGCUGAUGCCUAUACUCCCAGCACUUUGGGAGACCGAGGUGGGCAGAUCCCCUGACGUCACGAGUUCGAGACCAGCCUGACCAACAUAGCAAACCCCUCUCUCUACCAAAAAUACAAAAAAUUAGCUGAGUUGGUGGCAUUCACCUGUAAUCCCAGCUAGUCGGGAGGCUGAGGCACAAGAAUCACUUGAACCCAGGAGGUGGAGGUUGCAGUGAGUCAGGACUGUACCACUGCACUCCAGCCUGGGACAGAGUGAGACUCUGUCUCAAAAAUAAAUAAAUAAAUAAAUAAAUAAAUAAAUAAAUAAAUAAAUAAAAGGCUGGGAAAUGCUUUUUCUGAUCACUAAUUCUAAUUGUAUUCCUGCCACAGUGGGGGAUGGUCCCCAAGCACUGGGCUUUUUUCCCUUGGCCACACCUCUGGAUGUAGCAGCACAGAGGCAGGUACUGGGACCAAGAAAUUCCAUACACACAAGUCCACUCCCUCAGCUGUGGAGCAGGCACCAGACAAGCUCCGAGGUCAGGUGUGUCCCCCCUGCUGCCAGGUACACUGAACAUCCGGGAACCUCGGUCUCCAGUGCAUACCUCUCGGUGCCCGCAUACACUGUGGCUGUCGGGCCACAGACAAUGAGGCCCUGAGCCCCAGGAUGUGGAGUCACAAGGUGCCUCCAUUAUAGGUGCCCCAAAGUGAUUGUUGGGGGAAUUAGUAAUUAAGGAGGGUUUUUCUCCCCCUGCCCUUCAGGUAGUGGUAUGGAAGCAGUCCACUGCUCCCUGAAAACAGAGACCCUGCCCCACUUCCCUGCUCACACCAUAGUUUGUCCAUGUUUCUGGAAGAGUCUGCCGAUGGGUGUUUAGGGUGGUGACCUGAGAUGUUUUCUAGGAAACACAAAAGAUACAAAAAAGAACACGUGGAAGGAUAGCCAAAAAGGGGGGCUGCCCCCAUUUCCUGCACCCCGCUGCGAUGGCUGGCACCAUUAGGUAGACUGGGAUUUGUUGUUGAGCGCAGUAAGACAACAACAAAAUCACUAGUCUUCCAGAUGGGGCCAGCCGGUCCACUCUGUAUCCAGGCCAGUUCUGCAAGGCGUUCGAGGACCACCCCCCUCCCCUCGCCACCAGGUCAGCGGUCUGGAUGCUCCUUCAGGCGAGGCGUUGUCUCCGCUCCUAUUACUAAGUUCAUCUUUGAACACCUCUCCUCACCUCAGAAUUCCCUGGAGAAAUUAUUUUUUCUUACUUUUCCCUUUUUUCUGGAGUGUUCUACUUUCUAUAAUGGACACAGUUGUUUUGUUUUGUUUUGGUGAGACAGGGUCUUGCUCUGUCACCCAGGCUGUAGUGCAGUGGUGCAAUCACAGCUCACUCCAGCUUCAACCUUCCAGACUCGAGUGUUCAAGUGAUUCUUCCACCUCAGCCUCCCUAGUAGCUGAGACUACAGCUAAUUUUUUUUUUUUUUUUUUUUUUUUUAGUAAAGACAAGGUCUCAGUAUAUUGCCCAGGCUGGUCUUGAACUCCUGGGCUCAAGUGAUCCUCCUGCCUCAGCCUCUCAAAGUGCUGGGAUUAUAGACGUGAGCCACUGCACCCAAUUUGAGCAUAUUUCCUUUACAAACAGGGGAAUUAUUUUUAAAGAGAAGCAGGCAAGUGGCUCAUUUCUCUCUUUCCUUUACUAAUCAUAAAGCAUUGAACCACCAUGCAGAAGAGAAACUAGAGCUUGGAAAUGGUGACCCCUCUCUACUGGUGCCUCCCCCUUCUGGAAGCCUAUGGGCAUGGCCCAUGGUGAAAAUUCUUCCUGUGGUUACUGAGCCCUGGAAGCUUCAGAAUGAAGUCAGAGUGGUGGUGCUGGGGUAAGCAGAGCAGGAAGAGGAAAAGGGGAAAUGGUUGUGGACAGGAGGCUGGUGGAAUCCUGGCCCAGUCAUCCCCUCCCUGCAGGCACAGCGCUGGGCUCCCUGGUUAAUUUCCCUUGCAGUGUGGCACUGGUGGAGGAGAGGCAAAGCCCCUGCUGCCUGGGCCAGCCUCUAAUUGCGCUGGCAGGACACAUCCGCUCCUUAAUUAGCAAAAGCCACAAUAUCCUGGCGGCUCAGAGAGCAUGGCCCUAAUUGUAUUUCUGCAGCAACUGAAGGAUAAUUACCCUUCCCUAUUGGUGCUGCUUUUAAUUCUUUCUCUUUUUAAUUGUGAGCACUUCCUCUUUAGCCCACCCUUCCAUCCUUGGGUUUAUUCUCUCUAUCCAGAAUGGGGGUGGGGGCUUGCCUGGUGAUGGAGACGCUCAGGAGCAGGAGGAGUGGGGGGAGUCAUGGAGAAGACUGGCAAUACCUAGCUCUGAGUCCCAGCCCCUUCCAGCUGUCAGCCUGAGACAGGGCACAUCUCUGCCAUGGGUCUGAGAAAAACCAAGAAGUUCUUUUGUGGAAGAUGUAAGGGAGAGGUGUUCCUCCCCCAGAGGCUCUUUAUGACCCUCUUCAGUCUACCCCGCAGUGAGGUGCUGGCUCUGAAAUUCCCAGCUGUAGAAAACUGAGACCUCCUUUCCCCAUCCUUUAAUCUAUCAAGAAACAGAGAUGGAUGUGUGGUCUUUAAUUUCUUUUACAAAAAAAAAAAAAAAAUAGCCCCGUGCCUCUUUGCCACUGUUGAGAGGAGGGUUAGUCCUUCAACCUUGAAUUGUUUUAGAGACAAGGACCUGAGGGUACCAUUAGAGAACAAUGCUAACUAAGGUAACCCCUUGGUUAAUAGGAGAGCUUAGCACCCUAGGUAUUUCUAGGAAAAACAGGCCUUUCUUAGGGACCUGGCAAAUAAACUUUGAGAAGUAAUAGACAAGCUAAAAUGCACCACAAAGAGAGUUUGGAGAGAACCACAGCAUCUCUCUGGAUGUCAGCUUGCAGGACUGACUGAUCUAGCUUACAUGAGCAACCCUGGCCCUAAAGCCACCACCCAAACCACUGCCCUGCUAGAAGCUCACUAUGAGAGCAGGGACUCUCACUCAUUAUUCUUCCAAGUGCCUCGCGCACAGCCUGGCCCGUGAUAAAUGAAACUGGUUGGCAAAGAAGCAGAGUUCAGAGACAGAGUAGGAUUGUGAGGUGUGAACAGGGUAAAUCCAUUUUCAUUGGCUUUUUCCUUACAGAUCCAAUGAAGAUGAAUUUGAACUGAUUGUGGCCCUAGUUUUCAAAAUUCUUUAAUUCUGGGCUCUAUCUGAAUUGGGAGAAGAUGCAAGCAAUAAAAGAGGCUGCUGUAGUCUCAAAGAAAUAUAUUUUGAAAAAAUGACCUGCCCUUGAGCCCACCAACUUCCACUCCCCACUUCUAAUUUCUUUCCUCUGAAUUUAGAGCUGUUCCCUUAGCAACGCUUGUUUCCAUGGUUUCCUCCAUGACAAUGAUCCCAAACCCCUCCUCUCUUUUACCUCAUGACAGUAAUGGAUGAUGGGGAUCCUCAAUGUGGCCACUCCAUGUUACCAUGGUAACAAUUAACUGAGCCUUAAUUUAUCUUUUGUGAAGAGGGCUAGGGAAUAUGAAGCUUUUGAUUUGGAGGGGGAGGGUCCAGGUCUAGAGCUACCAUUCUCAUAAAGAAGAAGAUAAGCUAUUUGUCUUAAUACUAGCCAGUAGGAUUUAGUUCAAACAUUUGUUCAGCCCUACUUUAAGCACAACUGAGUUUGAGGGAAUCAAAGGGGUACAAGACAUAGCUCCUAAUAUUGAAGGGCUAAUAGUCUAGCACUAGGGCUCAUGGUACCGCUGAACUCUGGCACAGAUGGGGCCAAUAAAGAAUAUGGCUCUUGAUAGCACCGUGAUGAUCAGGCAUCUAUCCAUUCCCAGUAUCCCCUCCUGCCAAGAACCAAAAAAAGACUGACUGAAGUGGUCUGUACUCACAUUAAGACUUCUUCCGGGCUGUUAUCAGAGAGUUUCUGUCCUGAAAGGGAAAGAACUUUGACUUCCCCUCUUUUAGGGAAGUGGGGACCAAUGCCAGCAUCCCUGAGUAGGACUAUUUGGUGCAGGAAAAAAGAGAAAAAUAAACAGACCUGCCCAUUGCCAGUGCAACAAAGGACUGGGAUAAUCUCCAGUUCCAGGAUAACCAUCACCUACCUGCAACAAGUCUUCCUGGGAAGCGAUGAGUCAGCUCUUACAUUGAAUUAAAGAGUCAUUGUCUCCAUCCAUUCAGCUUUUCUAUUUGUCACUGAAAAUUCAGGCCAAAAGCGCAGCUCUGAAGAAUGAAAGUGGAAAAACAGACAAAUAAAAAUCAAAGUGAAGAGGACACCAAACACCAAACACAAAACACCAAAGCUGAGAGCUGAGUAGAGUGAAUCCACAAGCUGAGAUAUCCAUUCUGCAUCACAAGCAAUGCAGUUCUUCCGACUUCUAGCUUUCCAUCUUCAUCUCCAAAAGUUUUCACCAAAUCUCUAAUAAUGAGGACCAAUUAUCUAUUUUUAGGGGAAAUCACAAAAUUCUCUGGACCCUCAGUGUGCUGGUAACAAUAACCUGCACUGACUUGGAAAGAUGAUCACAGUAUCUCCUAAAAUGAAGGGGGAAAAAAGCCAUAGGACAAUGUAUAAGGCAGGUAUGUUGAAGUAAGCUGCGAAUAGGUAGGUAAAAAAUGUCAUCCUUGCAAGUCAGUGCAAUCUGGAUUAGCCAAAGUCAAUUCCAGAUCCUGAGUCCAGGACUCUGAGUUCUGUCCUUUGCUACUGGAUGGAACUAAGGCAGAUUCAAUCCUUCUGUGUACCCUGCUCACUCAGCUAGUCAGAAAAGGAUAAAUGGCAUCCUCUUAUUGGUUGACAAGGCAAUACACACCAACCAAUGAAAGAAUGCUUCUUCCUUUCCAGCCAAUAAGAGCUCAGUUAUCUUCUUGAAAGUAGACCCUUUGUCCAUAAAGAAAAUAAGCAGAAAGUGAAUAAUAAUUAAAAAAAACCACACAACUGUUGCUAUGGGACAUUACUGAUGUGAUCAAUGAUAGCUGCCCCGGACAAUUCAUAAAGGAAAGCACUUCUUUGGGAAGAAAAGUACAAAAAGCAGACCAGCUGUCUGGUCUGGUCUAAAGGGAAGUUUCUAUAGUAACAUGGGAGAGAAAAGCAUUUUAAAAGCAUUUUAAUGUAAAUACCCGCAAAACUAUCAAGUCAGUUCACCGAGCGAAUUUUUGACCUUUUAAACUUAUGCUGAAAUUAUAAUGAAUAAAAAUUCUUAUAUUAAUAAUAAAUGAAGGAAAUGGAGAGAAAAGAAGAGAACAAGAGGAGAAAAGAAAAGACCUGUGUGUUUAUGGUUCAGGGCAUCACAGAUAAAGAUAUCACAGUUCCUGCCUGAAACAGAAAUGUUCUCCAACCCCGUGUUGUCAAGUAAUAUCUCAGUUUAAAACAAACUUCUUUUUGUUGUUGUUAUUGUUGCUGUUUUUCGGGAAAGAGAACGUUCAUGGCACUUAGACUUAUUUGAGAUGAAACAGUGCACAGAGCACAGGCUGUUCUGGUAACUUGCUAGCGAUUUCCUCUCAAAUCAUUCUGAGAAUGUUACAGCUGCCUUUGGAAAAUUAUGAGUAAAAUAAUUUCCUACCCAGAUGUUUCUAAUGGACAUAGGCAGGGCAAGGCUGACAGGUGAAAGUGGAGUCAAUGUUUGUCAAUCAAGGGAAACAGAAAAACUCAGAGGAUUAGAAGCUUUAGGUGCUGUAUUUGCUAAUUAUGAAGGCGAUGCUGGGGAGGAAGAAGAGAAGAGAAUCUUGAGGAAUCAAAUGAGAGUGAUGCUAGUGUCCAUCUGCUAAGGGAGACACGUUUCCCUCUACCUGUGCUUUCUAUGUGGUCUAUGGGGCAAGGUGAGAAGUGGGGGUAAUCCAGAAUUCAGCCCUCUCUCCCCUGAGGGGAGUGGUUUAGUGGGGCAGGGAUGACUAUCAAACCAGGGAGAAAGUUUCUCUCUACAGUAGACACCCCUGGACAAUUUCCUUGUCUCCCUCCUGUACAUCCAGGAAAAGCAAUUUUUUUUUCUCAUUUUAAGGGGGAAAAAGAGAGGGUGGGGAUAGGAACUCAGCUCCUUCAGUAUAAAGGACUAAAUGAAAAAUAUAAAAGCCCAAAUUGUAAAUCCUGGAGAAAUGAAGCCAUGGGGUGGAGGGGGGAGGGGAUGACUGUAGUGGUGGAAAGGUAAGUUGCUCUGCUAUGCGCCUUUACUUAAAAUAAAAACAAACAAACAAAAAACAAACAUCUUCCAGGAUUUCCCCAGACGGGGCCUUACGCGGGAUCGAUGUGCCUCUCACCUAGCCCAGACAAGGCAGGGGCUCCCCAGGAGAUAUUUUAAAUAGUCAAGGUGCUCACUGAUUAUCAGUGGCCAAAGCCCCGCCACCCACCGUAACCAAGGCAACAGGAGGCAGGUGCUGCGACUGGUUGCCUGGUAAGCAUGCUAGUGCCAAGUCCUUUCCCUUCCUUCUCCACCUCCGUUAGCCCUUUUGUGAUAGCGCCUCUCCCUCCGCUAUCUUUCCCCUUCUUGGCCAAACAAUAAUCUUUGCUCCUCAUACAAAGGUCACUUUGGGCUCCUUUGGGUAAAAAAACGCGUACCUUGAUGUUCUUUUUGAACAGAUUUCAUCCACGCUUGAGUUUUGAGACCUAGAUAAAAUGUGCUUCUUACCUCGGCUUCAAUAUCUUCUCCCUCCACCCCACUCUUUCCCUUUCACUCACUCCUAUUAAGGCAUACAGAGAGCGCGGGGAGGAAGGAAGGAAGGGAAAAAGGAAGGGGGAGAGAGCGAGAGGGAGCACGGGGGAGCGCAGGAUUUAAAUGUGGCGAUUUUUCACGGAACACCAGAGCCUGGGGCUCACAGUAGAUCCUCUGUCCCGCUUGCCCCUUUGCUCACCGCCUGCAAUCGUGCCUCUGCUCCCCGCACCACUGCCUAAAUUUGGCGCCAAGUUUUUCCACUGGUCGUGGCCAGAGCGAGAGAGAAUGCUCUCCUAGAAUCCCACACCUAAAUCCCUGGAGAAAUGAGGAAGAUGAGUCCCGCUUUCUUCCGCGAACCUGUGUCACCUCCUGACCUCCUCCGCGUGGGGUCUGAGGGGCCGCGAGCGCAAGUGGCGUGGGCUGGGAGGCCGAGCCGUGCGCAGGCACCGACCAUGGGCACCCUAGGGCCGGGGCGCUGUCCAGCCUCUGGUGCUGAAGCUGCAGGCUCGGAUUCGCUGGGGGAGGGGCUCCAGGGACCUUUAGCAGCCUGAUUCUGAGCCGACUCCAAGCGGGUAGCGACUCGAAGGAGAGGCGCUUGGUCUGCCGAGUGGAAAGGCUACACUGGGAAGUAACGGCAUUAGGCGCUCUCUUUCAGCAGAUAGGGCUCUCCCAGGGCGCAAUCCCCGGCGCCUCUGAUUCCCCUCCCUGGAGUUAUUUGCUGCAAUUGCGGUGGGUAGGAAGAAAGGCCCUUUGCACUGGGGCGAUUACCCAGUGGUCUCCUGGUACUUUUCACAUUUUUUCCUGCGGCUCUGGGCUCUCUGGGUGCUGGCCAGCCUGGCGCUCAGAUCUGGUGGCAGGCAAAGCAAAGAGGAGAGGCUUGGAACGCCGAACCCAGCUGCUCUUCUGCAUGCAACAAGUCAGCUGCAUCUAGAAUCAGGGGCGAGAAGCGCGGGAGGAGGGGCGACGGCGGGCUUGGGGCGGCUGGGUUGCGAGAGCCGGCUCCCGCGAGGCUGUGGGGCCGUCUUUCUCCUACUGGGCGCGGGACCGAGCGAAACAAACUGCAAGCUGGGUUUCCGCGUCGCCCCGGGCAGGUACUGGAACCAGACGCCCCCACACCUCUAGCCUGCCCAGCAUCCCGUAGGAGCGCUCACCUGCUGGGCUCCGGAGUCGCCUUCCUUCCUCUUCAUUUUGGCAAGGCACAUUUGGCGGGUGCCAAGCCUGGCCGCUCGCUUCUCCGGCCCUCCAGAGCAGCCUCAGGCUUAGCUUCCCGAAUAUCAGCUCCAGUUGGCUGCUUCUCCAGUCCCGAGCCCUUGACCUGGAGGAGGGGACGGGACCGGGGACCUCGGCUGGGAUUUUUACCUGGCAUGGGUCGCCGCGGCUAGGGAGGAAGACCACUUGCUCUCCGUUUCUUUCUGGAAGAAAGCCCCUCACCACCCAGCUGCCGGUACUUUGCUUCCCCCCAGGAGCCGCAGUGCAAGUAGCAGCGCAGUGCGGGGGAGGGGGUGGGGUUUGAGGAAGCUGUUUGUGAAGUGCCCCUUGAAUACUUGCCUCUCUGAGGCCAUCAGUCCUGUCCGGGUCCGUAGUCCUGGCAUGGUCCGCCGGGUGCAAACACAGUCGCCGCGGCUGCCGGGCCAGAGGAGAACAGCUGCUUUAAAGCUGAGACCAACCCACGGGUGGCCUGUCAGGGCCACGGAUGUUCAUGACGUCAUCCUGAAGGCGAGCGGAGAAAGCGAGUGGAGAGGGGGGAGCCGCGCUUCACAUCAAAUGUCCCCUGUGGCCAUGGCAACAGCUUUGGGGGAGGGGGUGCCGGUCCGCGGGCCAGCAGCGGGCAGCCUGCGACUCCUGCCAGGGUCCAGCGCUCCGCUGGGGUAGAGUCCGUCAUUAGUGCUGAAUCCAGUUGUGCCCGGACCAGAAGAGACACCAGAGCCAGUCCCGUCCCCUCCCCGGGCUGGUCAUAGCAGGGCCAUUUCCUAUUCUUCCACCACCUUACCUGGGCAGGUCAGACCCGGUUCACCUGACCGCUCACAGACGUAUUCUCACUCACUCUCGACCGACGCAUGCUGGAGCAGAGCACACCCAGGCAGCGCCCAAGCGGGACUCACCCACCUGCCCGGGUCCUCGCCUGCACACACGACAAACUGAGGCUUCAAAGCAGCCUUGAGAGCUUCAGAACAUGACAAACCCACUACUGAUCCAGUGCGCAUCUAGGGGGCGCAAACUGGUGACCAACGAACCAGACAGGACACAAAAAUGCCCAACCCUGGACGGACACACAAAUAUCUGUGCUGCCCACAUCCAGCCAACACAGGCAGCAGGAUAUUUCCUCCUAGUCAGACUGGUUUGUUUAUUCUUUAGGUGCCGUGCCAGAAGCCACACAGCUGAUAAGUGGUGGAUCCAUCUUGAAUUUGACUUCUAGACACUCCCUUUUCAUAGGACAGUGGGAGUUUAAUCAUGGACAACAAUUCUUCUUCAGAUUAGAACUUAAUUGGAGGACAGAUUGGCAGCUCAGCCGACCUUACUGUCAUCGCCAUUAGCCAAAUAAAGAUAAACCUUGACACUGCCAGUUUCCUCAAUAUUCUCAUGCAUUCAUUUCUUGGAAUU
rnacentral:lncRNA from 10 species